rnacentral:rRNA from 1 species
GACGAACGCUGGCGGCGUGCCUAAUACAUGCAAGUAGGACGCUGAAGAGAGGAGCUUGCUCUUCUUGGAAGAGUUGCGAACGGGUGAGUAACGCGUAGGUAACCUGCCUUGUAGCGGGGGAUAACUAUUGGAAACGAUAGCUAAUACCGCAUAACAAUGGGUGACCCAUGUCAUUCAUUUGAAAGGGGCAACUGCUCCACUACAAGAUGGACCUGCGUUGUAUUAGCUAGUAGGUGAGGUAACGGCUCACCUAGGCGACGAUACAUAGCCGACCUGAGAGGGUGAUCGGCCACACUGGGACUGAGACACGGCCCAGACUCCUACGGGAGGCAGCAGUAGGGAAUCUUCGGCAAUGGGGGCAACCCUGACCGAGCAACGCCGCGUGAGUGAAGAAGGUUUUCGGAUCGUAAAGCUCUGUUGUAAGUCAAGAACGAGUGUGAGAGUGGAAAGUUCACACUGUGACGGUAGCUUACCAGAAAGGGACGGCUAACUACGUGCCAGCAGCCGCGGUAAUACGUAGGUCCCGAGCGUUGUCCGGAUUUAUUGGGCGUAAAGCGAGCGCAGGCGGUUUGAUAAGUCUGAAGUUAAAGGCUGUGGCUCAACCAUAGUUCGCUUUGGAAACUGUCAAACUUGAGUGCAGAAGGGGAGAGUGGAAUUCCAUGUGUAGCGGUGAAAUGCGUAGAUAUAUGGAGGAACACCGGUGGCGAAAGCGGCUCUCUGGUCUGUAACUGACGCUGAGGCUCGAAAGCGUGGGGGGCGAACAGG